GAUGAACGCUGUCGGCGUGCUUAACACAUGCAAGUCGAGCGAUGAAGUUUCCUUCGGGAAACGGAUUAGCGGCGGACGGGUGAGUAACACGUGGGUAACCUGCCUCAUAGAGUGGAAUAGCCUUCCGAAAGGAAGAUUAAUACCGCAUAACGUUGAAAGAUGGCAUCAUCAUUCAACCAAAGGAGAAAUCCGCUAUGAGAUGGACCCGCGGCGCAUUAGCUAGUUGGUGGGGUAACGGCCUACCAAGGCGACGAUGCGUAGCCGACCUGAGAGGGUGAUCGGCCACAUUGGGACUGAGACACGGCCCAGACUCCUACGGGAGGCAGCAGUGGGGAAUAUUGCACAAUGGGGGGAACCCUGAUGCAGCAACGCCGCGUGAGUGAUGAAGGUUUUCGGAUCGUAAAGCUCUGUCUUUGGGGAAGAUAAUGACGGUACCCAAGGAGGAAGCCACGGCUAACUACGUGCCAGCAGCCGCGGUAAUACGUAGGUGGCGAGCGUUAUCCGGAUUUACUGGGCGUAAAGGGAGCGUAGGCGGAUGAUUAAGUGGGAUGUGAAAUACCCGGGCUCAACUUGGGUGCUGCAUUCCAAACUGGUUAUCUAGAGUGCAGGAGAGGAGAGUGGAAUUCCUAGUGUAGCGGUGAAAUGCGUAGAGAUUAGGAAGAACACCAGUGGCGAAGGCGACUCUCUGGACUGUAACUGACGCUGAGGCUCGAAAGCGUGGGGAGCAAACAGGAUUAGAUACCCUGGUAGUCCACGCCGUAAACGACGAAUACUAGGUGUGGGGGUUUCAACACCUCCGUGCCGCCGCUAACGCAUUAAGUAUUCCGCCUGGGGAGUACGGUCGCAAGAUUAAAACUCAAAGGAAUUGACGGGGACCCGCACAAGUAGCGGAGCAUGUGGUUUAAUUCGAAGCAACGCGAAGAACCUUACCUACACUUGACAUCCCUUGCAUUACUCUUAAUCGAGGAAAUCCCUUCGGGGACAAGGUGACAGGUGGUGCAUGGUUGUCGUCAGCUCGUGUCGUGAGAUGUUGGGUUAAGUCCCGCAACGAGCGCAACCCUUGUCGUUAGUUACUACCAUUAAGUUGAGGACUCUAGCGAGACUGCCUGGGUUAACCAGGAGGAAGGUGGGGAUGACGUCAAAUCAUCAUGCCCCUUAUGUGUAGGGCUACACACGUGCUACAAUGGCUGGUACAGAGAGAUGCAAUACCGCGAGGUGGAGCCAAACUUAAAAACCAGUCUCAGUUCGGAUUGUAGGCUGAAACUCGCCUACAUGAAGCUGGAGUUACUAGUAAUCGCGAAUCAGAAUGUCGCGGUGAAUACGUUCCCGGGUCUUGUACACACCGCCCGUCACACCAUGAGAGUUGGCAAUACCCGAAGUCCGUGAGCUAACCGCAAGGAGGCAGCGGCCGAAGGUAGGGUCAGCGAUUGGGGUGAAGUCAUAACA
rnacentral:rRNA from 1 species